UACGUAGGGUCCGAGCGUUGUCCGGAAUUAUUGGGCGUAAAGGGCUCGUAGGCGGUUUGUCGCGUCGGGAGUGAAACUCAGGGCUCAACCCUGAGCGUGCUUCCGAUACGGGCAGACUAGAGGUAUGCAGGGGAGAACGGAAUUCCUGGUGUAGCGGUGGAAUGCGCAGAUAUCAGGAGGAACACCGGUGGCGAAGGCGGUUCUCUGGGCAUUACCUGACGCUGAGGAGCGAAAGCGUGGGGAGCGAACAGG
rnacentral:rRNA from 1 species